rnacentral:lncRNA from 1 species
CAGAGAAUGUCCCAGGACCCCCAAAGUGCACUGUGUGAAGAAGUAUCUGUCUCCCCAAGCAGUGCUAGCCAACGCUCCCGGGCCUUCCUGAGGCUGGGUUUGGGAUGGGGCUCCUUUUACACCAGCAAUCCCCUUAGACUAGAGCUACCCCCGCAGUAUCUGGGAUCCAUGUUAGUUAGCACUGAGAGGUUUCCCAUUCCUUUCUUGUCUCAAGUGAUACUUAAAACAAUUUAACUAAAACUUCAGUUUUUAAUUCCUGGACAUGACCUUCUCAUUUAGUUUCAGGUUGUUGACCAGAGUAGGCUUCCCCUCCAUGAUCAAAGCUGCCGCCCCAGCCCUUGCUAACAACAAAAGCUUAUUUAUUUUGUUCAAUGAGCCAACUUGAACUUUCCCCCAAAGAAUUUUUUGAAAGUUUAAAAUAUCAAGCAUUAAGCAUGUAGGACUUUGCCACCCACACUUAUGGCCCAAAGGAGGGAGAUUGCCAUGGCAACACCUCUGGUAAGGAGGAUGGAAUCAGCCUGAAGGGUGAAGAAAAUACCACAAUGGGACACAGGUCGCCCAGCUAGCCAGCAGGCCCCUUAUGAUGCUAGGAGUGUUUGCUUAAGUCUUAGGAAUUAAGUCAUAAUUGAAAGAAAAAAAAUGUCCAACAGCAAACAAACAUAUUAAGAAGUGGAGGUGGGGUCACAAUGUAGGUAGAGGAAUUUUGAAAGUCAAUAGUGAAUGGAUGUGACUCUGUCUUCUUACAAAAGCUUUUGUGCAGAGAGACCAGUCCCCAUCCAUCAGCAGAGGGGCACAGCCAACGGGAGAGAAAGAACCCAACAGGAAGGUCACUAGAGUAUAUUUGGUGUCAAAUGACCCUCAUUGGUAGCAUGUACCAAGACCCCACCUGUUCAUUCUCUGUGACCCAGUCAUCCCUUAGUAUUCCUUAACAACCUGCCCAUAGAAAAUCCUCUUCACUCCAAAAAAGGGAUGUGGUAACAAAGAAAUCAAGUGCAAGAUUAUUGUUAUGUCUGUAGAACUAAAAAUAGAAAGGAAAAAUUUAAUUCUAACAGUAGGAGAGGCAUUAAACCAUGAUGUAACACCAUAAUGAAAGAUGAUGUAGACAAUAAAAUCAAUGGUUAAGAAAUCUUCACAAUACAUGGAGAAAGUUUCAUUCUUUUUACAUAAAAGAUAAAAAUCAUCAUUGCAAAUACAACAUGAUCUAAAUUAUGGUGAAAACAGAGGAGAAACUGGAAGGAAAUGUGUCAAACAACUAGUAGUUUUUGUCUUUUUGUCUUGAGACUGAAAUGAAUUUAUUUUCUACUUCCUUAAGUUUCUAAAAAGGGCAUGUA